AUGAUGAAGGAUCCCGAGGAAUUUCAGAGAGACGGAGUCGAAAGAAAUUACGUUGCCAUUAGACUUGAGUUCAACCACAUGCCACUUGCCAAACGAUGCUUCAGAGCAGUGGGAAUUGGAAGGCUAUCUGUAGUUGAGGUUCUUGGUAGAAAAGGUUCAAUGUUGCAGGUUAGCAGGCGUGUCACGACAAAUGGGCAGGUUGGUCUAGCUGUAAGUAUGUGGUGGAAAGGCAUAACAGUUAUCUUAGUCUUGUUGCAGCACGGGCUGUUUCAGUUUGGUGAUUAUGUAUGGACAAGGUUUGGAGUCUUAGGCAUAACAUGA